rnacentral:rRNA from 1 species
UGUUUCGGCUAGGGGGCCAUCCCGGCUUACCAACCCGAUGCAAACUGCGAAUACCGGAGAAUGUUAUCACGGGAGACACACGGCGGGUGCUAACGUCCGUCGUGAAGAGGGAAACAACCCAGACCGCCAGCUAAGGUCCCAAAGUCAUGGUUAAGUGGGAAACGAUGUGGGAAGGCCCAGACAGCCAGGAUGUUGGCUUAGAAGCAGCCAUCAUUUAAAGAAAGCGUAAUAGCUCACUGGUCGAGUCGGCCUGCGCGGAAGAUGUAACGGGGCUAAACCAUGCACCGAAGCUGCGGCAGCGAACGUAUCACCCAAGACAACUUUACGGAGUUGACGAUUGACGGAGCGAAGCGACGUCAAAGCGUUCAUUAAAGUCGAGUUGGCUUAGGGAUACGUUCGUUGGGUAGGGGAGCGUUCUGUAAGCCUGUGAAGGUGUGUCGUGAGGCAUGCUGGAGGUAUCAGAAGUGCGAAUGCUGACAUAAGUAACGAUAAAGCGGGUGAAAAGCCCGCUCGCCGGAAGACCAAGGGUUCCUGUCCAACGUUAAUCGGGGCAGGGUGAGUCGACCCCUAAGGCGAGGCCGAAAGGCGUAGUCGAUGGGAAACGGGUUAAUAUUCCCGUACUUGGUGUUACUGCGAAGGGGGGACGGAGAAGGCUAUGUUGGCCGGGCGACGGUUGUCCCGGUUUAAGCGUGUAGGUGUGUGUUCCAGGUAAAUCCGGUUCACUUUAACACUGAGGCGUGACGACGAGGCACUACGGUGCUGAAG